ensembl:lncRNA
CAGUGUGUAGAGUCCAGUGUGUGGGUAGAGUCCAGUGUGUUGGGUAGAGUCCAGUGUGUGGGUAGAGUCCAGUGUGUGGUAGAAGUCCAGUGUGUGUGUAGAGUCCAGUGUGUGUGUAGAGUCCAGUGUGAGGGUAGAGUCCAGUGUGUGGGUAGAAUCCAGUGAGUUUGUGGGUAGACUCCAGUGUGUGGUCUAGAGUCCAGUGUGUUGGGUAGAGUCCAGUGUGUUAGUAGUGUCCAGUGAGUGGGUAGAGUCCAGUGUGGGGGUAGAGUCCAGUGAGUGUGUGGGUAGAAUCCAGUGAGUGUGGGGGUAGGGGGUAGAGUCCAGUGUGCUGGGUAGAGUCCAGUGUGUUGGGUAGAGUCCAGUGUGUUGGGUAGAGUCCAGUGUGUUGGGUAGAGUCCAGUGUGUUGGGUAGAGCCCAGUGAGUGUAGAGUCCAGUGUGUGGGUAGAGUCCAGAGUGUGGGGUAGAGUCCAGAGUGUGGGGUAGAGUCCAGAGUGUGGGGUAGAGUCCAGUGUGUGGGUAGAGUCCAGUGUGUGGGUAGAGUCCAGUGUGUUGGGUCGAGUCCAGUGUGUUGGGUCGAGUCCAGUGUGUUGGGUCGAGUCCAGUGUGCGGGUCGAGUCCAGUGUGCGGGUAGAGUCCAGUGUGCGGUUAGAGUCCAGUGUGCGGGUAGAGUCCAGUGUGCGGGUAGAGUCCAGUGUGCGGGUAGAGUCCAGUGUGCGGGUAGAGUCCAGUGUGCGGUUAGAGUCCAGUGUGCGGGUAGAGUCCAGUGUGUGGGUAUCAGUACAAGAGUUAGUGCAAAAAAGGUCAAUGCAGGUAGUCCGAGUAACCAUUUCAUUAGCUAAUUAGCAGUCUUGUUUAGCGGCCUUAUGGCUUGGGGGUAGAAGCUGUUCAGGGUCCUGCUGGUUUCAGACUUUGUGCACUGGUACCGCUUGCCAUUCAGUAGCAGAGAAAACA